UACGUAGGGGGCAAGCGUUAUCCGGAAUUACUGGGCGUAAAGCGCGCGCAGGUGGCCUGUUAAGUCGGGUGUGAAAGGCUGCGGCUCAACCGCAGAGCGGCACCCGAAACUGGCGGGCUUGAGUGCAGGAGAGGGAAGCGGAAUUCCCGGUGUAGCGGUGGAAUGCGUAGAGAUCGGGAGGAACACCAGUGGCGAAGGCGGCUUCCUGGCCUGUAACUGACACUGAGGCGCGAAAGCGUGGGGAGCAAACAGG
rnacentral:rRNA from 1 species